rnacentral:lncRNA from 1 species
CUCUUCUCUGAGGUUACAGCCCAUACUGGGGACAAGACGGGGUGUCACAGGGACCUUUGGAAAACAUCGCCACAGUCCAAAGCAGGGGUGGGUUUCCCAUUGGAAAGGAUGCAAAGGCACCCCUGACUGGCCAUGGUCCUGUCCCUUUAAAUUGUCACCCUCCCUUCCUGGGCUCUGAGCUCUGAGAGGCUCUGACACUUCCUCCCCACGCUGGGAGGAGCAUUCUUCUGCACUCACAACCGGAGGGAAAGCACUAGGCCAGGGGCCUCUCCAGCCAACCUCAGAGCCUGUCACCACUGCUGCGGGAAAGGCCAACCACCCUAAGGUAGUCCCCAAGUCACUGAGCAAAUUUUUGGAUUCUCAGCAUUUUCCGAAGUCUCCCCUGGCUGUGGAAUCUCCUGGGAAAACUCAGAAGCUCCAGCUUAUGUCACUGACACAGAACUACCUGGGAACAUUAGCAUUGAGCUCACUCUGACACAGGGACGUGCUAUCAUCUCCCCUCUGGUGUUUGUGUUCAGAGUCCCUGAAAGGUCACCAAACGUUCUCCUGGUGUCGUUCCAACACCAGUCAGGUCCUUCCAGGGUUCUUCCCUAUGUGCUGAUGUUCAGGGGAAGGCAGGAGCCAUGACCUUUGCACUGUGGUGCCACCAACUCUUUGGACCUUGCCUGACCCAUCGAAGGCAAGCAUGGGAGGACGGAAGAUGGCAAGAGAUGAAGAAAACACCUAUGGUAAGAAUUUCCUCACUGUGUGUACUUGGCCCCAGGUGUCAGCUCUGGGGAACAAGGUGAUGAGCUAACACAAGACGGAACAAAUUCCAGGGGCGUCUUCUCCAGCUGAGCUCAGCAGCUCCAGUCAGCACCUUCUCCGAGAGCGGAAGUCCUCGGCCCCGUCGCACUCCAGCCAGCCCACCCUGUUCACCUUUGAGCCCCCGGUGUCAAACCACAUGCAGCCCGCCUUGUCCACCAGUGCGCCUCAGGAGUAUCUCUACUUGCAUCAGUGCGUCAGCCGGAGAGCGGAGAACGCCAGGUAACCUUCACAUGGUACUGGUGUCAGCUGUGCUGCUACAGAGUGGUGAUCAGAUUCCAGAGGAACCUCCCAUUAUCAGAAAUCACGCUAUAAAAAUGUUUAAUCUGGGGGGAAAAGGCAUUAGGGACUAGAGUUUCAGAAUUGGGAAAAAAAACCCGUCAAUUUACUUGUUGGCAAUAAGAGUAUAGCUAUAAAGUCUUACAGUAUUGAACAAAUCCAUAUCUCACUUUUGCUGUAGAGCAGCCCUGUUCUGUGUGGUCGUGAACUAUCCACAGGUGGCUAUUUAAAUUUGAAUGGGUUCAAAUAAGAUAAAACUUAAAUUGAAGUUCCUCAGUUGCACUGGCCACAUUUCAAGUGCUCAGUCGCCACGUGUGGCUAGUGGCUACCCUCUCAGCACAGGUAAGGAAACAUUUCAUCACCACGGAAGGUUCUAGAACAAGGACUCUCUGCUCUAGAAUAAUAGUCUAUGUAUUUCUGACACCACUAGUUCUCUCACAGGUGCCGAGCGUAUACAUAUUUUUACUACCGUUUAUUCUGGUUGUUAGGGUAACAAAAGCACAGAGGUGAUGGGCUUUACCAGAGCUAGUCCCCAGUUGCUAAUCCUGGCCAGCAGAGGACCAAUCACGUGUCUCAGUUCAUUUAGAAACACCGAAUUUGUGUUAUGAAAACUAAGGCAGGUAGAGAACUCACUGUAUUAUGUAUUACAUCAUAGAACAUUUUCAAGCAGAAUCUUACUCGAACCAGUCAAAUGCACUGAGAGACAGCCGAUACAGAUCAUUCUGUCCGUCUCCUAGAUGAGGACAGUGAGGCUCCCAGCUAUGGCGUGACAGAGGCAGGACUAGAGCCCAGGGCUGCUCGGCUCCGGUCCUGCACUCCACACUGCGUCACCCUGCUGCCGGGACCAUGACACGGCUCGCGCUGCCUGCGCUCUGUCUUAAGGUGGCCUCAAAUACCCAUUUUCCUGACGCCUCGGGAUUCCUUUGUUUAUGAACUUCCACGAGUUCAAACUCCAUCAACUUAGACGGAAAGAGCUGAGCUCAGAAACAAGGUGGGAUGAAUGAGCCGAGAUGACAGAAUGAGUUCGCGGCCGCGCCGUAAACAGCCCCGAUGCCCCUGGCUCCCACGCCUCCGGCAGGCAGGAUGCGGAGGCUAGAAGCGUGUACAGGCUUGGGAGUCCGGCAGGUGCGGGUCCAGAUUCAGGUUCUGCCACUUUCUUUGUGAUCUCAGGCCGCUUACUGAACCUCGUUGAGCUUCCAUUUCCUGACCUGUAGAAUGGAAAGGGCUCCUCCUAAGGCUCCCUGAUGAGCAGAGUGACAGGAGCACAUCCGAGUACUUCUGAGCGUUUGUUCUCCUUGUGCCCCACCCCCACUUCACGUGACCUGGCCUCGGAGUAGAGAAGGUGAGGUCUUAAAAUCAUCAUUCUCUUGAAAGUGGACUUUCUAUUAAUGCCUCUCACCCUUAAGGUGCCUAUGAAAUAUCUAGGGAUCUGGUUAAAAUGCCGAUUCUGAAUCAGUAGGCCUGCAGCGGGUCCCGAGAUCCUGCCUUUCUGCUCACUUCCAGGGCUUGCCUUCGGAUCACACUUGAAGUAGAAGGCUUUAUAUAAUACUAACAGCUACCACCACCUCCACUCCCAUGCGGCUGUGAGAGCAGCAGGGAACAGAUGUGUAAAUGUGUCUGCUUGAAUUAGCAGUUAGGGCCCACUCUCUGCACCCCCUCCUCCUCGGUAAAGCCUCUGUUAAUCUGCCUAGCUGAGACCCACAUCUCUGAAUUCCCACAGCAGUUUUUUAUUCUCUCUCGCACGUUUGGCACGCUCUGCUUCAUAGUGUGGACACUUAUAUUAAUAUAUUACUGCCCUUCAAAGACAGGACCAAAGGCAUAUAGUAGGUACAUAAAAAAUAUCCAAACGCAUCUGUGUUACAGAGAGAGAGCAUAACAGGGGAGACAAAACGGAUCUGCAGUUGGGGAAGCAGCCUUAGUGUGGGGCCCUGAGCAAGCUGUGCUUUUCUCUGUGUCUUUGCUUUCACUUGUGGGGGUGUGGGAGCAGGGGAGUGAGGAGAAGGAGCCGGGAGAUUUUUGGAAAAAAUAAGUUCAAACAACAUUAACAGAAUUCCCAAGUGAUGGAGGUUGGGAAGGAAGCUUUCUUUGGGCCAGAAACACCAUAUAAUUUCUAGAGGUAUUGGAGUAGUUUGCAUGAUACUAAACAUACUGUAACAAUUAUAAACUCUGGGCACAACAUAAAAAAACAACUGUUUGAAGGCACUGAAGAGCAAUCACAAGGCAGGCAGAAACUGAAAGAGAUUUAACUCUUAAACGGAGCUGGGGGGGGAAGGGGCGCCUGGGUGGCUCAGUCGUUAAGCUUCUGCCUUUGGCUCAGGGCGUGAUCCCAGGGUCCUGGGAUCGAGCCCCACAUGGGGAUCCCUGCUCCCCUGGGAGCCUGCUUCUCCAUCUCCCUCUCCCCUGCUUGUGUUCCCUCUCUCACUGGCUGUAUCUCUCUCUCUAUCAAAUAAAUAAAUAAAAUCUUUUAAAAAAAUAAAAUAA